rnacentral:rRNA from 1 species
AUUUGUCUGGUUAAUUCCGAUAACGAACGAGACCUUAACCUGCUAACUAGUUUCAAAUACUCUGUGUUUGUUAACUUCUUAGAGGGACUAUGUGAAACAACUACAUGGAAGUUUGAGGCAAUAACAGGUCUGUGAUGCCCUUAUAUGUCCUGGGCUGCACGCGUGCUACACCGAUACAUACAACAAGUGCCUAGCCAGUCAUGGUAUGGCAAUCUCGAAUAUGUAUCGUGAUGGGGAUAGAUCUUUGCAAUUAUAGAUCUUGAACGAGGAAUUCCUAGUAAGUGCAAGUCAUCAUCUUGCAUUGAUUAUGUCCCUGCCCUUUGUACACACCGCCCGUCGCUCCUACCGAUACCGGGUGAUCCGGUGAACCUUUCGGACCUUUACUGGAAAGAUAAGUAAACCAUAUCACCUAGAGGAAGGAGAAGUCGUAACAAGGUUUCCGUAGGUGAACCUGCRGAAGGAUCA